UAGUGCUAUUUCUCACAGAAUAAGAAAGCAAAGAUCAUACAAGAAACAAAUCCAGGAUGCUUUUUCAUCAAAGAAGAGGUUGGUGAAGGAGUACGAACAGCUAGCGAUUUGGUUUGGAGAUGUUGGUUUAGAUUCCAGCCAAGAAGCAAACUCUUACAAGGACAAUUCGGGAACUCAUCAGGCAGGUGACUCUGAGUGGGAGCUUCUCUAAGCAAUAUAAUUUGUGUAUGUAAUUAAAUGAAAUUGGCGAUUGGACGGGUUACAAGGCUGCCAACCAAGAUUUGCAUGAACGUUUCGUGUGGGACGAGUAAUAUGCAUGAAUAGAGGAAUAGCUGGCCUUAGCGCUCUGGUGAAUUUGCCCAUCUCUGCUACAAGUGUGGAUAAGAAUUUCAGUCCCCUUUUUGUAGUUUCAAAGUUUUUAUUUUCUGCUGAAGUUUUGAUUUUUAAGGUGUUUUGGGUUUGAUAUAGUGUUGGGAGGGCAUUAUGGGAUGUGUUUUGGUUCUUAACGUUAGGUUUUAUGUGUUUUUUGAUUAAAGUUUUGAUCUUUACUUUUUGGGGGGGUUUUCGGGUUUGGACCAAUUGCAUUUGUUCAUGAGCUAGCUGCUGGUUUAAUGUCCAGGUAAGCUUCUGCUUUGGUUGAUUGGUCGAACUUUGGUGUGUGCAGUUCUUUUUUUUUCAGGGUUUCUUAUGCGUACCUAAAUUUAGCUCAGAGUCUGAUCAUGUAUUUGCAGGUGGGGUUUUUGGGAUUCAAGGAAGACUUGGAUAAGGAACAGGAGUCGAAUCUGGAGCUGUAGUCAUGCUUUGACUACUCUACAGAGGCUGGAAGAAGAGGAGAGGAGAGGCAGAAUGUAAGCAGCUGCAAAUGAGAUCUAACAAGAGCCAUUAAUGGAGUAUUAGAGCUCAGUUGCGUAAGGUAAGCUGCAACAUUGGAAUACUUGCUAGGGAGGUUAGAGCAGUAUGAGUAGGAUAUGGAGGAAUAUCAUCUAAAAAGAUUUUUGGACUUGCAUUUUGAGGUAAGAUUUCUUCUUCCAUCCUAUAGUGUUUUUGCAUUAUUGUUUUUGUUUCAUUGCAUUUAUGGGCUUCAAAAACUGUUCCGACCUUUCUCAUAUUGAUGCAUGUAUAUUGCAAAUGUAGCAUUGAAUCUACUGUACUUUAGGUAUAAAAUGCUUAGAAAUUUAUCCUAAGCCAAAAUCCAAAUGGAAAAUUUGAAAAUCAUGCGAUUUUGCUUUUCAAAUUCAAGUUUAAGAACUGAGAGUUAAUAUCCAGUUACAUCAUCGAAAAAAAAUCCAGUUCGUAAAAAAAGUUUGAGAUGCAAGGAACUGGUACGCUGUUGUGUUCCAUAUAUUCCAGUUUCAACAGUACCAAUA